rnacentral:lncRNA from 1 species
CUGUUAUAAGUCUAUGGUUACAACAUCCUGUGUGUCUGUUGUUGUUUUUAUACAGUCUAAGGGCUGUUGCCACAGCAACUUUGCGGUCCCAGUACUUUCAGCUCACUCACUGCUGGAAUUUGCUUUUUGUAAUUUUACGCUUAGUAGUUAUUUAUCUGCCUGUGAUGCACAAUCAUGUUUGGGCGAGAGUCGCGGCGUUCAACAAACAAGUUUGUGCAGAGAGAGAGCGACAGAAUGCGGAAAAAUGAAGAGAUCGCUGGCAGAACUGCUGAGCUGGACAGAGUCAAGAGUGUGAUAUUGAAGGCUGAAUUUGAGUGCCUUGGCCUUAAUUAUUAUGAAAAGGCCCUGAAACGCAGAGAGAGGAUCCAACAGAGAGAGAUGGAGUUGAGGAACACCUCUCUCACUGUGGUCCGGAGAGAAGCGUUACGCAGGAUGCUGGAGCAGGAGAGACAGCUGCACAUCAGAGAGCUCAGCCAGACUGGCCUGGCCAUUUAUCAACAAAGAAUAUAAACCAUUAAAACACAUUCCAAUGCUGAGCCUUCACGUUCACUGCUUUAUAAUAUGCAUGUGACGGUACAAAAUAAUUGUUUCUACAAUUAAGUUUUCUUUAAACGCAGG